UACGUAGGGACCAAGCGUUGUUCGGAUUUACUGGGCGUAAAGGGCGCGUAGGCGGAUACUUAAGUCGGGGGUGAAAGCCCGGGGCUCAACCUCGGAAUUGCCUUCGAUACUGGGUAUCUUGAGUUCGGGAGAGGUGAGUGGAAUGCCGAGUGUAGAGGUGAAAUUCGUAGAUAUUCGGCGGAACACCAGUGGCGAAGGCGACUCACUGGCCCGAUACUGACGCUGAUGCGCGAAAGCGUGGGGAGCAAACAGG
rnacentral:rRNA from 1 species